GUAGGGUGCGAGCGUUAUCCGGGAAUCAUUGGGCGUAAAGAGCUCGUAGGCGGUUCAGCAAGUCGGCUGUGAAAUUCCGAGGGCUCAACCUCGGAACUGCAGUCGAUACUGCUGUGACUCGAGUCCGGUAGAGGAGAAUGGAAUUCAGGGUGUAGCGGUGAAAUGCGCAGAUAUCCUGAGGAACACCAGUAGCGAAGGCGGUUCUCUGGGCCGGUACUGACGCUGAGGAGCGAAAGCGUGGGUAGCAAACAGGAUUAGAUACCCUGGUAGUCCACGCCGUAAACGUUGGACACUAGGUGUGGCGUUCCGACCAACGGGUGCCGUGCCGAAGCUAACGCAUUAAGUGUCCCGCCUGGGGAGUACGGCCGCAAGGCUA
rnacentral:rRNA from 1 species